GACGAACGCUGGCGGCGUGCUUAACACAUGCAAGUCGAACGGUAAGGCCCUUCGGGGUACACGAGUGGCGAACGGGUGAGUAACACGUGGGUGAUCUGCCCUGCACUUCGGGAUAAGCCUGGGAAACUGGGUCUAAUACCGGAUAGGACUCCGGACUGCAUGGUCUGGGGUGGAAAGCUUUUGCGGUGUGGGAUGGGCCCGCGGCCUAUCAGCGUGUUGGUGGGUGAUGGCCUACCAAGGCGACGACGGGUAGCCGGCCUGGGAGGGUGACCGGCCACACUGGGACUGCGAUACGGCCCAGACUCCUACGGGAGGCAGCAGUGGGGAAUAUUGCACAAUGGGCGCAAGCCGGAUGCAGCGACGCCGCGUGAGGGAUGACGGCCUUCGGGUUGUAAACCUCUUUCAGCAUCGACGAAGCGAAAGUGACGGUAGGUGCAGAAGAAGGACCGGCCAACUACGUGCCAGCCGCCGCCGUAA
rnacentral:rRNA from 1 species